UACAGAGGUCUCAAGCGUUGUUCGGAUUCAUUGGGCGUAAAGGGUGCGUAGGCGGCGCGGUAAGUCGGGUGUGAAAUCUCGGGCUUAACUCCGAAACUGCAUUCGAUACUGCCGUGCUUGAGGACUGGAGAGGAGACUGGAAUUUACGGUGUAGCAGUGAAAUGCGUAGAUAUCAAGAGGAACACCAGUGGCGAAGGCGAGUCCCUGGACAACACCUGACACUGAGGCACGAAAGCUAGGGGAGCAAACAGG
rnacentral:rRNA from 1 species